GAAAUUAAUGUGAGAAGCCAAAUCCUGAAUAAUCCAUAGCGUCCUCAUUUUCUUUUUGACGAUGUUGUGACUUCCUAACUAUGCCUGUGCAAAAAAAGAAAUUGUGCUGAAGAGCAAAAAUUAUUUGGUCCAGCCUUCAAACUGUCAUUUACAUUAUUUUAAACAGUAUAUUUGGUUGAGGAAACCCUGGUGGUGCAGUGGUUAAGAGCUUGGCUGCUAACCAAAAGGUUGGCGGUUAGAAUCUACCAGGCACCCCUUGGAAACCCUGUGGGCCAAUGCUACUCUCUUCAACAGGGUUGCUAUGAGUCAGAAUUGACUUGAUGGCAAUGGGUUUGGUUUUUUCUUUUUUAUAUUUGGUUGAGUUGUUCAUUUGUUUUUGCACUAUCUACUUGGGGAGAAGUCUAUAUUUAACUAGAUAAGACAGAAGGCACUGAGUUUAUACAAAGGUUUAGAAUUCAACCAAUUGAACACUAGUCUCGAUUUUACCAGUAAUUCUGUUUUCAGUUUUUCAACCAAGUUUCAACUGGGUGUUGGGGCCAUGUGGACUCUUUUUUGAUGACACGAAGUGAUAUAUGCACCAAGAACAUUCCAAGUCUGAGUCCACUGGGUGUGAAAAGGGCAGAGUGCGCCAGUGCCUAUGGUUGCAGGGAAAAUCAGCCUGGCCUCUCACUUGGUACAGAGUAGACCAACCUAUCAGUCAGUAGCACGGUUUCUUCUCACUUGGCUGUUUCGGUGCUGUUAUUAGCACUGGCGUGGUCAUCGUAGCAUAGUUAACAGACUUACCUGGCAACCACCUCAGUUUUCAUUUUCUUAUUGAAGAGCCCUUGUGGCACACUGAUUAAAGCAAUUGACUGCUAACUGAAAGGUCAGUGGUUCAAAACCACCCGUCACUCCAUGGGAGAAAGAUGUGGCAGUCUGCUGCUAUAGAGAUUUACAGCCUUGGAUACUCUAUAGGGUUGCUAUGAGUUGGAAUCGACUGGACAACAAUGGGUUAGUGGGUUUUAUUGAGGCCUUGGCUUGGUCUCCUAGGAAUGGCUCCUUUUAACCUAACGGACAAGGAAGUAGAUGUGAUAGUUGUUAAAAAAUAAAAAAAAAGUACAUUUUAAUGGAAAAAUGAGGUAUUUUCCAUUGUGGUAAAGUGUCUUUUUUUUUAAAUCAUAAAAUUGCUCAAAAGAGGAAGCAAAAAGCGGAACAUCUAUUCAUUUGUUUUAACUGGAGUCCGUAAAAUGAGUUCUUGAGAAAGCUAGCAGGCAUCUAUUUUGAAGAAUAAUGAUUUCUUUCUGGCAUCCAAAUAUUGUAUCAUUUCCAGAGUAUAAUUAGCUCCCAUAAUGAUCUGAAUUUAUAAAUAUGACUACACAUAAAAAAAAAAAAAACCUAAUAGCCACGUGAGGAGUUUCAACAUGACAACAUGAGAGCAAUAGAGAUAGAGAGAGAAAGUGAGAAUGACUAUCAGCAGAUGUGAUUGCUCAAAUGACAGGAUCAGAGCCUCUUAAGAGCAGGACAAGAGCUCGCCUUUGUGGCCAGGUAAUUGAUACCAGAAAGGUAUUGUUUCAACAGGUAGGCGACCCAAGGUCAUUUCUUAAUAACAAGGCAUUUCUUAGCAACUCUUGUAGUCCAGAAGUGGAUAUGGAUGUUGGGGUACACUCAUGCAAGAACAUAGGAUCAGAUCAGACAUGUUAUUGAGAGAGAUCUUCCAUGUUCAGAAUACUCCCUAGCUGAGAAAGUACUUUGACUACAGAUUAUAAAUCAUGUCUGUUCCACGCAGAGAGGACAGCUAAGCUUUGGGGCUACAAAAUGUUGAAAACCACUGUAUAGAUGCCAGCUACAACAUCCAACCACCAGUCUGCCACCAGCAAUGUCAGAGAAAGCGGAAGGGAGGCAGACGUGGUCGAUACCCAGCUGGAAAUUAUGGUACUACCAAGACUUCCAAUGAGGUAAGUGGUUGGGGUGUGGGGCAUUUGCUAUGCUCUCCUUGAAGUUCCGUUCUGAGUUCUGCCAGACCUGGCUUGAGACCGUUUUUCUCUCUGAGCUAACUAUCUAAUAUUAUGGUGGCCAUGGCAGUGUCACCAACCACAGCAAAGUGGCCAGUUUGAGAGUGAGAACCUUCCCUAUCUAAAGGUUUCUGAUUGUCAGGUCUCAUCCUCUUUUCCUUUUCCCAAGCAGUUUCUUCUCUGAGUAUGAAUCUAAAGGUUUUCUAGGUUGUCCAUAGUAAUGAAGCAUUGUUUGGAACUCCUUAAAAGAGCUGAUGAAGACUGCAGUUGGCACUGGGAACCCACUCUUGAGUUGGUGGCCCCUGCUGGUAGUUUCUCCAAGUUCCACUCCAGGAAAUUCUGAAGGAAAGCCCACUUAUUAGAUGCAUUAAAAGUCAUGUUACUCCAAAAAUGAACUUGUCAUGAGCAUGCACACGUGGUAAGUGACAUACAUUGAGCCUCUUCUAUGUGCUAGGUUCUUUUCACCAUCUCAUUUAAUUCAAAAAACAGAAAGUCAAAGAAUAUAUUGUUAUCAGCGAGAAUGUAAGCUCCGUGAGAGCAGGAACUUGGAUUAUUGAGUUCAAUUACAUAUACUGAGCACUUGGCACAUUUACCUUUACAGUGAUUUAAUAAACAUUACCCUUCUGGAUGAAGAUCGAAUAUUCUACCAAGUUCAUCCAGCUAGAUCGUGGCAGAGGAGGGAAUCAGCCUACUGCCCUGUGGAGGUUUCAUGCUAUGGCCGGCUAGAGAGAAGAGAGCAGAGAGACAUGGGGACCUCAUACCACCAAGAAAGCAGUCCUGGGAGCAGAGCACGUCCUUUGGACCUGAGGUUCCUGCUCUGAGAUGCUCUUAGACCAAGGCAAGACUGAUGACAAGGACCUUCCUCCAGAGGAGACAUGGAGAGAAAGCCUUCCCCUGGAGCCAGCGCUGAAUUCGGACUUCUAGCCUACUGGACUGUGAGAGAAUACACUUCUCUUUGUGAAAACCAUCCACUUGUGGUAUUUCUGUUACAGCAGCGCUAGAUGACUAAGACAGCACCUGUUUUGCAGUAUUUUGUAUUCCAGGCACUCUCCUAGGCUCUAGGAGUACAAUGGAACUUGGAGUCUAUGAGGGAGACAGACAUUAAUCAAGUCAUCCCAGUAAACGAAUGCCUUUGCACUUAACACCUCUGUGAACUCUGUGACCAAACACCCUCAUCUGGAAGGCCCAUUCAGAGGUGGCUGAGCAGGCUGCCAAACUCAGCCUCUGAACGCUAUGAUUUCGCCAUUAUAAAUGCUUCUUUUCCCUCCCUGACAGCUGGAAUUCAAUGCUCAGAGGCGUUUGGAUUAGAUUUGAACUGCUUAGUCAAAUCUUAGUCAUCUAUCUCUCCACACACAGACAGACUCUCUAACACAGGGAAAGGUGUUUGUUUGAGCCCAGAGGAUCAACCAAAGGGAAAGGCUUGAAUCACAACACCCCAACUUAGAGUUAGGUUCAGCAGGCCACGGAGGGAAGCAGGAGCCCAUCAUUGUGUUGGCUAACGGACCCCGUUGUCUGGAGUGUUCUCCACAGACAUUCCCCUGAGGCAAGUUCUUCCUAUAGUACUGUCCCAAGUAAAACCUUUCUGAGGUUCACCCUCAAGUUCAAAGUUACAGUGUUAUUUAGUACUCAUCAUGGAUGGCCGCAAUAUGUGGUUGUCUUGCACAUGUGGGUGCACUUGCUUAAAGCAUUGAUUUGUUUGUCCAUAGAUAAAAAUUUUCUGGGUUUGGUGGACAUUUGCUAUUUUUGUCUGCUCAGUAUCUCUGCUACUUUUGGGAAAUAACUAUAGCUAGCCCUCGGUCCCCUCCCAGCCACAGGAGUGGGCAAUGAUCCAGGCAAGGCCAGCCAUGGCUACCCACCAAGGAUGGACUUCUGACCCAAGCAGGGGUGGGUUACUUCCCUGGAUUGGCAAAGAGAAGUCCCUUUUCUGCUGUGAGGCUAGGAAUCUGUGGUUAUGUGUAGCCACCUUCUCUGCGACACGGUGCCUGUCUAAAGAAGGAAACAAAUAUACAGAAGAGGAAGCAAAUGGUGGAGAUGUGGCCUUGUCCUUAUGAUUGGAGUCCCUGAAGCUAUGCCUGAACCUCUCCUAGAUACCUAAGUCAAAUUCCACUUUCUGCUUAACCUAGUUUGAUUUUAGUUUCUGUUACUUAUAAGCAAUAAUGUCAUUAUAUCGACAAGCACCCAGUAGUGUGUUAACCACUGGGGACACAAAAACGAGUAUCGUAAGUAGCAGAACCAAAGUACAGGCAGAGAGCUAUGGGAAAAUAGUAGGGGAGAGAGAUUAUGCUGUAGAAGUAUUGAGAGUUUCUAAACAAAGGUGUUACAUGAUAAAAUUCGUGUUUACUCUGGCUAUACUGUGGAGGGUGAAUUGGAAAAAGGAUAGCCAGGUAUGGAUGGUGCAGUUGGAGUCAUCAAAGUGUUUUAAGGCCUUAAAUCUCACCAGUGUAAGAUUCUAGCAAUUGAUAGCCAGGUCUACACAAUAUGUAGGGAUCCCUGUGGUUUUAGUGUUAUUGGAAUUGAUUUGAAAGCAUGGCCAUUUAGCUACGUCUUAUUUUGAAUUCAUGCCUCAUUGUAAUUUCUCAACACAGCAGUCAUAUACUUUGAAAAUCUUAUUUUACUCUUCUUCUGUCCAGACUUGUGUCUAAGACUUUAAAUUCUACACUCGAGUGAAAAUUGUUCUUCUUUCAGAGCGUUUUACUUGCUUUGCUUUUUGAUUUUAAGCUAUGUUGUGCAUUUCCUGAGGUGUAAUGGUUGACUCUCUACUCACUACUCAGCAAAUGAAACAUCCCUACCAAGAAUAUUAAUGGCAGGGAACACAUUUUACUGAUUUAGUGCCACCGUAACAAAUUGUCAGAAACUUCGUGGCUAAAGACAACAUGUAUUUAUUAUUUUAUAGAUACAGAGAUCAGAAAGAGGUGCCCUGGUGGUGCAGCAGUUAAGAGCUACAGUUGCUAACCAAAAGGUCGGCAGUUGGAAUCCACCAGCCCCUCCUUGGAAACCCUAUGGAGAGUUCUAUUCUGUCCCAUAGGGUUGCCAAGAGUUGGAAUCUCCGUGAGGGCAAUUGGUUUGGGCUGCAUUUAGAGGUCAGAAAUCCAAAAACAAUCUCAUGGGUCUAAAGAUAAGGUGUUGGCAGGGCUAGUUCCUUCUGGACAUUCUAGGGGAGAAUUUAUUUUCUUAUUUUUUCCAGCUUUCCAAGGUUGCCUGCAUCUCUUGGCUCAUAGUCCCUUCCUCCAUCUUCAAAGCCAGCAGCAUAGUAUCUUCAAUCGCUUUCUCUGACCUCAGCUUCAGUUAUCACACCUCCUUCUGACUCUGACCCUCCUGCCUCCCUCUUACGUUGGGCUCACCUGGGUAAUCCAGGAUAACCUCGCUAUCUCAGCGUCCUUAACUCAAUCGCGCUUACAAUUAACCUUUUACCAUGUAAGUUAACACAUUCACAGGUUCCAGGGAUUAGGAUGUGGACAUUUUUGGAGGGCCAUUAUUCUGUCUACCACAAUAAAUAUUUGCUCUUUUGAAUUAGGGAUUUUAGUAUGAGUUGAUGUUCAACUGAUGGGAUUUUUUUUUUUAUUGUGCUUUACGUGAAAGUUUACAAAUCAAGUCAGUCUCUCAUACAAAAAGCCGUACACACUUUGCUAUGCACUCCUAGCUGCUCUUCUCCUAGUGAGACAGUACAUUCCUCCUCUCCACCCUGUAUUCCCCGUGUCCAUUCAGUCAGCUCCUGUCCUCCUCUUCUUUCUCAUCUCACCACCAGACAGGAGUUGCCCACAUGGACUCAAGUGUCCCCUUGAGCCAAGAAGCUCACUCAUCACCAGUAUCAUUUUCUAUCUUAUUGUCCAGUCGAAUCCUGUCUGUAGAGUUGGCUUCAGGAAUGGUUCCAAUCUUGGGCUAACAAAGGGUCUGGGGACCAUGACUGUCAGGGUCCGUCCAGUCUCAGUUAGACCAUUAAGCCUGGUCUUUUUAUGAGAAUUUGAGACCUGCAUCCCACUGUUCUCCUGCUCCAUCAGGGAUUCUCUGUUUUGUUCCCUGUCGGUGGUAGCCAGGCACCAUCUAGUUCUCCUGGUCUCAGGCUAAUGGAGUCUCUGGUUUAUGUGCCCCUUUCUGUCUUUUGGGUUCAUCUUUACCAUAUGUCUUUGGUAUUCUUCAUUCUCUUUUGCUCCUGGUAGGUUGAGACAAUUGAUGCAUCUUAGAUGGCCUCUUGCUAGCGUUUAAGACCCCAGAUGCCUCUCACCAAAGGGGAUGUGGAACAUUUUCUUAAUACUUUUUUUUUUAAUUUUUAUUGUGCUUUAAGUGAAAGUUUACAAAUCAGGUCAGUCUCUCAUACAAAAAUUUAUAUACACCUUGCUAUGUACUCCUAGUUGCUCUCCCCCUAAUAAGACAGCAUACUCCUUCCCUCCACUCUCUUUUUUUGUGUCCAUUCCGCCAGCUUCAAACCCCCUCUGCCCUUUCAUCUCCCUUCCAGACAGGAGAUGUCCACAUAGUCUCAUGUGUCUACAUGAGCCAAGAAGCUCACUCUUCACCAGUAUCAUUUUCUCUCCCAUAGUCCAAUCCAAUCCCUGUCUGAAGAGUUGUCUUUGGGAAUGGUCCCUGUCUUGGGCUAACAGAAGGUCUGGGGACCAUGACCACGGGGGUCCUUCUAGUCUCAGUCAGACCAUUAAGUCUGGUUUUUUUUAACAAGAAUUUGGGGUUUGCAUUCCACUGCUCUCCUGCUCCAUCAGGGGCUCUCUUUGUGUCCCCUGUCAGGGCAGUCAUCGGUUGUAGCUGGGCACCACCUAGGUUCUUCUGGUCUCAGGCUAAUGUAGUCUCUGGUUUACGUGGCCCUUUCUGUCUCUUGGGCUCAUAAUUACCUUGUGUCUUUGGUGUUCUUCAUUCUUCUUUGAUCCAGGUGGGUUGAGACCAAUUGACGCAUCUUAGAUGGCGGCUUGCUAGCAUUUAAGACUCCAGACGCCACUCUCCAAAGUGGGAUGCAGAAUAUUUUCUUAAUAGAUUUUAUUAUGCCAAUUGACUUAGAUGUGCCCUGAACCAUGGUCCCCAAACUCCCGCCCUGCUAUGCUGGCCUUCGAAGUGUUCAGUUUAUUCAGGAAACUUCUUUACUUUUAGUUUAGUCCGGUUGUGCUGACCUCUCCGGUAUUGUGUGUUGUCUUUCCCUUCACCUAAAGUAGUUCUUAUCUACUCUAGUGAAAACACCUCUCCCUUCCUCCCUCCCUCCUCACUCUCAUAACCAUCAAAGAAUAUUUUCUUCUCUGUUUAAACUAUUUCUCGAGUUCUUAUAAUAGUGGUCUUAUACAAUAUUUGUCCUUUGCAACUGACUAAUUUCACUCAGCAUAAUGCCUUCCAGAUUCCUCCAUGUUAUGAAAUGUUUCACGGAUUCAUCAUCGUUCUUUAUAGAUGUGUAGUAUUCCAUUGUGUGACUACACCAUAAUUUAUUUAUCCAUUCAUCUGUUGAUGGGCACCUUGGUUGCUUCCAUCUUUUUCCUAUUGUAAACAGUGCUGCAAUGAAUAUGGGUGUGCCUAUAUCUGUUUGUGUAAAGGCUCUUAUUUCUCUAGGAUAUAUUCCAAGAGGUUGGAUUGCUGGAUCAUAUGGUAGUUAUAUAUCUAGUUUUUUAAGGAAGCACCAGAUCGAUUUCCAAAGUGGUUGUACCAUUUUACAUUCCCACCAGCACUGUAUAACUGUUCCAGUCUCUCCACAACCUCUCUAACAUUUAUUAUUUUGUGUUUUUUGGAAUAAUGCCAGCUUUGUUGGAGUGAGAUGGAAUCUCACGGUGGUUUUGAUUUGCAUUUCUCUAAUGGCUAAUGAUUGUGAGCAUUUCCUCAUGUGCCUGUUGGCUACCUGAAUGUCUUCCUUAGUGAAGUGGCCGUUCAUAUCCUUUCCCCAUUUUUUAAUUGGGUUAUUUGUCCUUUUGUGGUUAAGUUUUUGUAGUAUCAUGUAGAUUUUAGAAAUCAGAUGCAGAGCGGAAAUGUCAUAGCUAAAAACUUUUUCCCAGUCUGUAGGUAAUCUUAUUACUCUUUUGCUGUGAUCUUUGGAUGAGCAUAGGUGUUUGAUUUUUAGGAGCUCCCAGCUAUCUAGUUUCUCUUCUGCAUUGUUAGUAAUGUUUUGUAUACUGUUUAUGCCAGGUAUUAGGGCUCCUAACAUCCCUAUUUUUCCUUCCAUGAUCUUUAUCAUUUUAGAUUUUAUAUUUAGGUCUUUGAUCCAUUUUGAGUUCAUUUUUGUGCAUGGAGUGAGGUAUGGAUCUUGUUUCAUUUUUUUGCAGAUGGAUAUCCAGUUAUGCCAGCACCAUCUGUUAAAGAGACUGUUUUUUCCCCCAUUUAACUGGCUUUGGGCCUUUGUCAAAUAUUAGCUGCUCAUAUGUGGAUGGAUUUAUAUCUAGAUUCCCAAUUCUGCUCCAUUGGUCCAUGUAUCUGUUGUACCAGUACCAGGCUGUUUUGACUACCGUGGUGGUAUAACAGGUUCUAAAAUCAGGUAGAGUAAGGCCUCCAAUUUUGCUUUUCUUUUUCAUUAAUGCUUUACUUAUCUGGGGCCUCUUUCCCUUCCAUAUGAUGUUGGUGAUUUGUUUCUCCAUCUCAUUGAAAAAUGUCGUUGGAAUUUGGAUGGGAAUUGCAUUAUAUCUAUAGAUGGCUUUUGGUAGAAUAGACAUUUUUACAAUGUUAAGUCUUCCUAUCCAUGAGCAAGGUAUCUUUUUCCACUUGUGUAAGUCUUUUUUGGUUUCUUGCAGUUUUUUUGCAGUAGCGUCUUGUAGUUGUCUUUGUAUAGGUCUUUUACAUCUCUGGUGAGAUUUAUCCCUAAGCAUUUUAUCAUCUUGGGGGCUACUGUAAAUGGUAUUGAUUUGGUGAUUUCCUCCUCGAUGUUCUUUUUGUUGGUGUAAAGGAAUCCAACUGAUUUUUGCAUGUUUAUCUUGUAUCCUGAUACUCUGAAGCUGUGUGGGCCAAGGCUUUUUUUUUUUGUUGGGAGUUUUUGAUGACCUUUUCAAUCUCUUCUUUUGUUAUGGGUCUAUUUAAUUGUUCUACUUCUGUUUGUGUUAGUUUAGGUAGGUGCUGUGUUUCUAGGAACUCAUAACUGAUGGGAUAUUAACUAAGGAUCAUCAUGAUGAGACUUCUUAUCUUAAUGAUUAUUAAAAUGUUCACAGAGCUAUUUUGCUUUUUAGUAGAGAAAUGGCGGUGGUCUGGACAAGCAAAAAUUCCGAACUCGAGAUGAGGAGAUAAUAGUACAUUUACUUGUACCAAAGGAUCAUACUAAAAUACAUAACCUCAGGCUUCAAAUCGUUGCUAAAAAAUUAGAAGAUGUCUUCCUCAAGAUUUGUUCCACUCUUUUUUUCUUUAAGAGAGAGACAUUUGAAGUGGACUUUUGGGAAAAUUUCUUCCCUUUUGGGAGUUUUGGAAAACUCUGAUACAUACACGCAAUCAACUUGUCCGAGAAGCUGCUUUAGCAACACAAAGAGGUCAGUCCCGGGCCUCAAGUGGCUUAUGGUUUAGUUCUAAGUGACAGGUGUGUAAGCUUAUGAGAACUAUCAAUAGAUGUCUGCCCAUGAGGAUGUAGGAACACAGAGGCUGGGGGUCAAGAUGUGACUUGUGAUUCCUCACAACCUUUCUGGAGGAAGUGAUGCCCGCUCUAAAUCUUGGAAGGUCAGUGGGGUUUGGCCAGGGGAAGAAGAUGGAAAGGGCAUCCCAUGCAAAACUCCAUAUGCGUUAACUCAGUGAAGAAAGAAACUGUUUGACUUACCUAUAUGUGAACUGCAGUUCUGUAGAGCUGAAAAGAAAAGUGUGUAAAUGGAGAGGCAAGAGACGAGACAGAGAAAUCUUGAAAAGCCUCAUACACCUGACUAAGGAAUACAAUGUUCCUAAAAACUGGGGAGGGGCUCACCUGAGAACCUUGAGCUGGGAAGGGAUUUUAUCCAAAUCUUAUCUUAAAAGGUCGUCCUAUGAGCUUUGGAAAAUAGAUGAAGGAGGGCAGAAUAAAAGCAUGGAGACUCUGAGGAGGUUAGCCGAGUGGUCUCAAUCAGGGCAGGGGCAGUCAGAAUAGAAAAGAAAGAACAAGUUUCUGUGUUUGGUAAAAUACUCAAUCAUAAAGCAAUCUGACUCUUGAAUAGUGGUAAGAUGUAUAUUAUUUAUUCAGAAAGAAGGUAAUUUCUAAAAAUAACCCUUGACCAUAAAAUAUUAUUGUAAAAGUAAAAGAGUAUGUUUCUCUUCUGAUGCUGGAUGUCAGUGGAAUCUCUUUAUCAUAUUAUCAUUGUUAUUAGGUGCUGUCGAGUUGAUUUCAACUCACAGGGACCCCAUCUGACAGAGUAAACUACUUCAUAAGGUUUUCUAGAGUAUAAUCUUUAUUGGAAGAGAUUGCCAGGUCUUUCUCCUGAGAAGUGGCUAGGUGGGUUUGAACCUUUAACUUUUCAGUUAGCAACCACCAGGGCUCUUUUUUUUUUUUUUUAAUGGGAUUUAAGUGAAAGUUUAAAAAUCCAGUCAGUCUCUCAUACAAAAAUUUAUAUACAUCUUGCUGUGUACUCCUAGUUGCUCUCCCCCUAAUGAGACAGCACACUCCUCCUCUUCACCCUGCAUUCCCCAUGUCCAUUCAGCCAGCUCCUGUCCCCCUCUGCCUUCUCAUCUUGCCUCCAUACCGGAGCUGCCCACACAGUCUCAGGUGUCUUCUUAAGCCAAGAAGCUCACUCCUCACCACUAUCUUUUUCUGUCUUAUAGUCCAGUCCAAUCCCUGUCUGAAGAGUUGGCUUUGGGAAUGGUUCCAGUCUUGGGCUAACAGAAGGUCCAGGGACCAUGACCUCCGGGUCCUUCUAGUCUCAGGCAAACCAUUAAGUCCAGUCUUUCUAUGAGACUUUGAGGUCUGCAUUCCACUGUUCCCCUGCUCCAUCAGGGAUUCUCUGUUGUGUUCCCUGUCAAGGCACUCAUCAAUUGUAGCCAGGCACCAUCUAGUUCUUCUGGUCUCAGGCUGAUGUAGCCUCUGAUUUUUGUGGCCUUUUCUGUCUCUUGGGCUCAUAAUUACCUUGUGUCUUUGGUGUUCUUCGUUUUCUUUUGCUCCAAGUGGGUUGAGACCAAUUGAUGCAUCUUAGAUGGUAGCUUGCUAGCAUUUGAGACCCCAGAUGAAGGGCUCUUUCUUUAUGAUAUGAGUGCACGGGAUUGUAUUCUAGCACAUUACCGGGAACAUUGUUUACUGUUUUCAGUUUGGGUAAAAAAACAUUAUACGGUUUAGAUGUGUUUUUGUGGGUUCUCUGGGUAUGGUCAUAGACUGAUACUUACUGUGACAAGGGAAGCGCAUCACCCUGCAAAGAACAAGGCCUAGAUAUGAGAAGACCCUGGCACAGUCCUUCCUUUGCUAUCAACCUGAGAUUGACCACAGAAAAGGUUAUUUAACUUUCUGAGGCUCCCUUUCCUCAGCCAUUCAAAAAGGAAAUAUGGCGCCUGUCCUAUAUAUCACAAGGAACUUGGGAGAGGGAAUACAAGCCAUCGGACAAGAAAUUGCCUUACAAAAGCUUUGGGGCCAUAUUGGGAAGUGCUGUGUUGUCAAGGAAAUUAUGGGCUUUGGAUUUGGCUAGAUCUGGGUUCAAACUCUAACCGGAAAUAAUUUGGGGCAAGUUGAUUCACUUCUCUGAGUUUUGGCUUCCUUAUGUCGAUAGUGGGCACAAUAGCAUCUAUUUCGGUAUUAUAGCAAAACACACAAAAAUUCACAGAUAUAAAAGAUGCUUGGUUUAUGUGAGUUCUCUCUUCCUUUGUAAGGGAAGAGCAGCAGUUAAGAACUUUGCUCUGUUUCUACUAGCCUAGGAUUUAGCUUUUCUGGUGGGAUUGAGGAGGAUGAAGGGGGUGGAGGUGAGGCGGCUGGCUGUCGCAUUCCCACUGUGUCCUCAUUGUCUGCUGGGUGAGGAAGACAGAUUCUCUUCAGUGCUCCUGUGUGCCGUCUCUGUCAGGGGCUCCUAUCUGCCUUGGUCCUUGAGGGAAAACAUCUGCUGCUGUUGCUGAGGUUUCUCCAUCGUCAUUUGUCUGCAAAUUUGCUUUUGUUUAUUUGAAAUUUUCAUGGAUCAUUUUAGUAGCCUCCCACCUGACUUUUUCGAUAUUCUCCUACCCCGUCUUCACAGUUCACAUAUUCUAUUUUGUUUUCAUGCCUACCUCAUUUAUCUUCUUAUCAGGUGUUUUGUUUUGGUGGAGAUUUUGCCAAAGUCUUAUCUGUUGCUUCUGUCUUGGAUUUCCCAGCUUUGCACAAAGAAAACUCUUCAGGCACCAGACGUGACCUGCUUUUCUAUUAUUUUAUAUUUUCCUUUCCUUUCUCACUCCUUUUUUCUCUGGCCUAGUUCCAAAUAUGUCCCUCUCUUCUGGGUUAAAUGUCAUUUUUCCUUAGCACCACCUCCAGGACAUACUUUGGCUUCCUCUUCCUGGGAUGACUUCCCUCCCCUUGACUCUGCAUCACUGACAGCUACAGGCCCAGUGCCCGUCCCAUUCCUGGAAGGCAUCUCUGGCUUGCAACCAUUGCAGGAGGCAUUUUUCCCUUUUCCAGUGAGCAUAGCUUAAUAGCACCUAGAGGAUUUUUUAGGGAGUCGUGCUUAAGGAUGAGGGCAGUGGUAGUUCAGUGGUAAAAUUCUUGCUUUCCAUGUCGGAGACCUGGAUUCAAUUCCUACCAAUGCACCUGCUGCAGCGCCACCACCUGUCUCAGUGGAGGCUUGCAGGUAGCUAGGAUGCUGAACAAGUUUCAGGGGAGCCUCCAGACUAAGACAGACCAGGAAGAAAAGCCUGGUGAUCUACUUCUGAAAAUGAGCUGAUGAAAACUCUAUGGAUCACAAUGGUCCAGUCCACAAACAAUCAUGGGGAUGGCACAGGGCUUGGCCAAUGUUUUGUUCAGUUGUGCACGAGGGCACCAUGAAUUGGGGCCUUCUUAAUGGCAGCUGACAGCAACAGUACUUGGGGUAGGUGGCACAGGAAAAGUAGGACCUGACACAUUUAGAUGUGGUAACAUGUAUGAAGCACUUCAUAGUAAAAAAAAAAUAAUUAUGGCAGCUGACAACAACAGUACUUGGGGUAGAUGGCACAGGAAAAGUAGGACCUGACACAUUUAGAUGUGGUAACAUGUAUGAAGCACUUCAUAGUACCUACCACAUAUUAAGUGCUUGACCAUUAGUACUAUCUAUUACUGGUUCGUUGUGGGAUGGCGUUUAGGGCAGCUGAGAUGGGACUACUUUACAAUACUUGGGGACUGUUGAACUUACUCCUAUGUUGAUCUAGUCACAGGACAUUUUAAGCUCAAUGGUAGGUUCCUUCUUCCUUAUUGUUUUAACUAAAAAUAAGUGCAAAUGCUUUACUUUCAAUUUCAUUUAAUUCACUGACCAGCGUGAACUUGAUCUAAAACUGUCAGAGUUAGAAAUAUUUUUCUCUGCUGUUUUUAUAUCAUAUUUCUUCCUUUUCUGUUUAAAUCUGUGCUUCUAUAGCACUUCUUGGGAAACUUGGUGGCAUAGUCAUUAAGAACUACAGCUGCUAACCAAAAGGUUGGCAGUUCGAAUCCACCAGGUGCUCCUUGGAAACACUGUGGGGCAGGUUUGCUAUGCCUUAUAGGGUCACUAUGAGUUGGAAUUGACUUGACGACAAUGAGUUUGAUUUGGUUUGGUUUUAUAGCUUUUCUUACGGUCAGAUUUGUAUUAUAGUUUCCCGUGCAUCGUUUGUUCUUUCUGAGGGACAGCAAGUUGUUGACAAUCAGGAAGCAUCUUUGGAUCUUACCAGAAUUAGCAGAGCAUCUUGUAUAUAGCAGGCACUCUUCACUGCUGGGAGUUCCUGAGUGGUAUAAAAGGUUAAGUUGCUUGGCUGCUAACCAAAAAGUUGGAGGUUCUAUUUUACCCAGAGGCACCUCAGAAGAAAGUCCCAGCAAAUGACUUCUGAAAAAUUAGCUAUUGAAAACUCUAUGGAAAAUGACAAUUUACCUCAAGAAAUAAUGUCUUGAGGCUUUUGUCUUGUUGAAGAAUUAUCUAUACACAAUUGGCAUGACAAUAGUAACUCUAAACCACAGAUGAGAACUUCAAGGGACAGGGAAUAUAAAUCGAUGGUGAUGCAACAAUUGGGGCAGAAAUACUGAGAAUCAUGACACAAUGUGAAUAAUGUAACCAUUGUCAAGGAACUGUACAUGUAAAAAUUGUUAAAUGAGUGUAUGUUCUGUUGUGUAUAUUCUCACUCCCCCCUGAAAAAAAAGAAAAACAUUCCCGAAACUCUGUGGAGCAUGAUUUUACUCUGACAUACACGGGGUCACCAUGAGUCAGAAUCAACUUCACAGCAAGUGGUAGGACUGGUACUCUUCACUGCUAAAUACAAGUAAUUCCCAACUUAGGAUGUAUUUGAGUUACCACAAACCACACUUAAGACAUCCUUUUUUUUCUUUUUGUACAUUUUAUCAUUAGUAAUGUGUAGUACAUACAAUGUCCUAGAGUGUAAUUUUCUUCCUUUCAAGAUUCUGCUGUGACUUAAUAAUGCCCCAGGAUGUUCUCCUCACAUAAACCAAAAAACCAAACCGGGUGCCGUCGAGUCGAUUCCGACUCAUAGCGAGCCUAUAGGACAGAGUAGAACUGCCCCAUAGAGUUUCCAAGGAGCACCUGGUGGAUUUGAACUGCCGACCUCUUGGUUAGCAGCCGUAGCACUUAACCUCUACGCCACCAGAGUUUCCAACACAUAGAUGAUCUAAAUCAAGACGUGAAAGUGGUGUAUCUACCUCCCAAUGCGACAGGUGUGGUUCAGCAUAUAGGUCAAGGUGCAGUCACCACCUUCAAGGCAUUGUGUCUACGUACAGACUACGUUUGCUCAGGCAAUAGCUGCAACAGAUGGAGGUAUGAUAACGUUAUGUGAUUUCUGGAAGAAUUAUAAUAUUCUUCAGCGUAUCUGGAACAUUACAUCUUGUUGGGAGAAAAUUACAGGAAAAUGCAUAUAAGGAAUAUGGAAAAAAUUGCUGAGUUAUGUGAGCACUCUCCAGGCAUUUAAUUAGGAUAAUAUGAGGGAAGAGAUUGGCGGAAAAAUCAUCCAUAAGGUGAGAACACUGAAUUUAGGACUUGAUGUGGCCAACAUAGAACAGCUUGUAGAUCAUGAAGAAGGGGAAUCGAAAGAUCAGGACUCAAAGAAUUUUGAAGAGGAAAGAAAUGCUGAAGAAGAAAGAAAUAAUGAGGAAGAGGAAGGAGAGAAACUUUAGAGUGAAAGGAUCAGCUGAAGUUUUCUCUAAACUAAAUAAGGGCUUCAGUUGCUUGAAAACAUGGACCCAAAUGCUGAUUUCUUUGCUAAAGUUGAUAGGCAGAUUCAGGAAGCAGUGAGAUGUUACUGCAAAAUAUCUGAAGAAUAAAAGAAAAAGUCUGUACGGACGACUGGAAAUCCUGGUGGCAUAGUGGUUAAGAGCUACGACUGCUAACCAAAAGAUGGGCAGCUUGAAUCCACCAGGCACUCCUUGGAAACCAUAUGGGGCAGUCCUACUCUGUACUAUAGGAAUUGACUUGAUGCAAUGGGUAUUUAUAUACACACAACUUUCACUAAUUUUCUGACUAGAAAUGCCAUCCCCAUUCCCAGGGAUAAUGCAGAUGAUUUAGAACCUUCCACAAGUGGAGUUAUUACCAUAACUGACAAAAUGCCAAUGUAGUCCAUCUCUUCAUCGUCACAGUAAAUUUUUAUGAUUUAUAUAUGAAUUAAAAUACAUCUCUAAGUUUAUAUGUAAUGUUUCCAACCCCUAAAGACAAAGAGAGAUCAGAUUUAUAAAGAUAUUGAUAAUAAAAAGCAAUAAUAAUGAAAAAUCAGAAAAAAAUGAGGUUUUUGACUUAAAGUCAGAACCAUCUUAUGACUGAGUGGUCAGAACGGACGUCCAGUGUAAGUCCUGAAAUACCUGCAAAUUAAAUAAAGUUGUCUGUCCCAUUACUGGGGACCAAAUACCAACUAAGGUCCAUGUAAGGAAAUAAUAAUCUCAUAGAGCGUCUGUAAAACGUUAUUGCCAAAGUUUCUGCUAAUGUGCUGGAGCUGGCUUGUGUGGUUUUGGGAAAGCAGAUAAUUAAAUAUCCAAGAAAUUGGUGAGGUGGUUGUUAAAGUACUGGGAACUUGAAAUUGUCUUUGUGGAGAGUGUUUACACAAUGGAAACCAGCAAAAGUUACAAAUUAUGAAUUUUUUUUUUUUCCUUUUGCGAGCUGGUUUACCAGCACUCCCUUGAUGAGACCACAUUAUUGAGCCUGGACACCUGGUGAAAAAGGCAAACCUUGAGCAAUGGAAAUGACUUCAUUGGCUGUAGCCAAGAUUUCCUUAAACAACCAAGGUUUGCUAUGAAAGGCUAGGCGGAAGCCCAGUCCGCAAACUGCAGGCGGGCAGUUAGACAUCUUGCUAAACAAGAUGAGUUCAGGGUCUUCCUCAAAAACAAAAACAAAACUUGACCACAGCCGAAGAUCGCAAGAUAGAGAGCUUCUCACAGGCAAUUUCCUCAAAUGGCAAAGCUAGUUCAAGGUAUUUGGAAGCAGUAAAAUCUAUAUUGUGGUCUGUCCGGUGGCUCUUAAUGUUUAAAAAUAUUCCCUUUUCCUGGCAUAGACAGUAUUAAGUCUAUGGCCGUUUUAAACAGCACUUUUAAAAAAUAUUGUGUUAGACAAGAGCAGUAGAAGAUGUAUUUUGAGUUAUGCAAAACAUAUCAAAGUCAGAUGCGGAAAUUAAAAACCACUUCUCACUUUCUAAUUUCUAGCAGAGUUAAUGAUGCAAUGGAUGAGUGAUUCCUCAGUCAACCUUAUCUGCAAAGCCGAUUUAAAACACCUUUCUUAGUAUUGUAUCUGCUAGUCCGUGAAUAAUACUUACAGAGAACUUGUUAGUCACUAAAUUCUUUAAAUAGUGGUAACCUAGAGAAAGGAAUCCACCACCCGUGUGCCAGUUUGCUGUACUGUGAUGGCUUGUACGUUGCCGUGAUGCUGGAAGCUAUACCACCGGUGUUUCAAAUACCAGCAGGACUACCCACGAUGGACAAGUUUCAACAGAGCUUCCAGAGUAAGGCAGACUAGGAAGAAGGACCUGCUGGUCUACUUCUGAAAAAACUAGCCAAUGAAAACCACAUGAAGAGCAGUGGACCAUUGUCUGAUGUAGCACAGGAAGAUGAGACCGUCGUGUUGGAAGGGACUCAAAAUAAGACUGGGGAAGAGCUGCCUCCUCAAAGUAGAGUCAACUUUAAUGAUGUGAAUGGAGUAAAGCUUUCAGGGAUCUUCAUUUGCUGAUGGGGCAUGACUCAAAAUGAGAAGAAACUGCUGCAAACACCUAUUAAUAAUUGGAAUGUGAAAUGUACGAAGUAUGAAUCUUGGAAAAUCGGCAGUUGUCAAAAAUGAAUGGAACACAGAGAGAUCUAUAUCCUAGGCAUCAGUAAGCUGAAACGGACAGGUAUUGGCCAUUCUAAAUGGGACCAUCAUAUGGUCUACUGUGCUGGGAAUGAAAAAUUGAAGAGGAAUGGUGUCACAGUCAUUGUCAAAAAGCACAUUCGAGAGCGACAAAGAAGCUGUUGUUUGAACAGAAUAAGGGCAUAGUGCGUGGUUUAAAAUCAGGAAAGGUGUGUGCCAGGGUUGUAUCCUUUCACCAUAGUUAUUCAGUCUGUAUGCUGAGCAAAUAAUCUGAGAAUAUGGACUAUAUGAAGAAGAAAAGGGCAUCAGGAUUGGAGGAAGACUCAUUAACAAACUGUGAUAUGCAGAUGACACAACCUUGCUUGCUGAAAGUGAAGAGGACUUAAAGCACUUACUGAUAAAGGUCAAAGACUACAGCCUUCAGUGUGGAUUACACCUCAACAUAAAGAAAACAAAAAUCCUCACAACUGGACCAAUAAGUAAUAUCAUGACAAAUGGAGAAAAGAUUGAUGUUGUCAAGGAUUUCAUCUUGCUUGGAUCCACAAUCAACACCCUUGGAAGCCAAGUAAUCAAACAACAUAUUGCAUUGGGCACAUCUGCUGCAAAAGAUCUCUUUAAGGUGUUGAAAAGCAAAAAUGUCACUUUGAGGACUGCUAUGGAUUGAAUCGUGUCCCCCAAAAAAAUGUGUGUCAACUUGCCUAGGCCAUGAUUCCCAGUAGUGUGUGGUUGUCCACCAUUUUGUGAUCUGACGUAAUUUUCAUAUGUGUUGUAAAUCCUAACCUCUAUGAUAUUAAUGAGGCAGGAUUACAGGCAGUUAUGUUAAUGAGGCAGGACUCGAUCUACAGGAUUAGGCUGUAUCUUGAGUCAAUCUCUUUUGAGAUGUAAAAGAGAGAAUCAAGCAGAGGGGUGGAACUUCAUGCCACAAAGAAAGAAUCACCUGGAGCACAGCGCAAAGUUUGGGCCCCAGGGUUCCUGCAUUGAGAAGCUCCUAGGCCAGGGGAAGAUUGAUGACAAGGAUUUUCCUCUAGAGCCGACAGAGAGAGAAAGCCUUCUCUGGGGCCGGCACCUUGAACUUGGACUUCUAGCCUCCUAAAAUGUGAGAGAAUGAACUCUGUUUGUUAAAGCCAUCCACCUGCGGUGUUUCUGUUAUAGUAGUGCUAGAUGACUGAGACAAGGACUGAAGUGCACCUGACCUAAGCCAUGGCAUUUUCAAUCACCCCACAUGCAUGGGAAAGCUGGACAAUGAAUAAGAAAGACUAAAGAAGAAUUGACGCCUUUGGAUUAUGGUGUUGGCGAAGAAUAUUGAACAUACCAUGGACUGCCAGAAGAAUUGACAAGUUCGUAGAAGUACAGCCAGAGUGCUCCUUGGAAGCAAGGACAGUGAGACUUUGUCUCAUGUACUUUGGACAUAUUAUCAGGAGGGAACAGUCCCUGGAGAAGGACAUCUUGCUUGGUAAGGUGAAACGUUAGUGAAAAAGAAGAACACCUUUGACAAAUGGAUUGAAACGGUGGCUGCAACAAUGGACUCAAAACACAAGCAACAAUUUUGAGGAUGGCGCAGGACCGGGCAGCGUUUUCUUCUGUUGUACGUAGGGUCGCUACGAGUUGGAACCGAUUCGAUGCCACCUAAUGACAACAGAGAGAGGAUUACUAGUCAAGACCACAAGCCUAAAAUAAUUAUUAGAAAGUGAUUUUAAGGCAUUUCUGAAAACUAAUCAAAAUAUCCUUCAUCCUCGCCUUGUGGUAUCAGAGUUGUAUAAUCUGAAUAAAAAUGUUUAAGACGUAGAGGCUAAAAAAAAAAAAGAGACAGAAGGCAGCUGAAAAAGCAUUGCAUUCUGUGCAAAUAUGGUAUUUUCGCUAAAAGUCUUCUGGCAUUAAUGAGGUACACUAAAGAAUUAUGGGAAAGUGGGAGUUACCAAGUGGAUUCAAAAGGUUAAAGUUGUGUGCAGCUUGUAGCUCGCAUAUCAAAUAAUCCUGACUGCUGAAAAGCACCAGGCAAAGACACUCAAUCACCUAGUGCUGCUCUCGAGAGAUCUUUCUCUGGCUCCCCACAAGUGCUCCUUGCUUUUCAGCAGUCCACCGUGUGCGUAAAAUUAACAGCGUGCUGCAGUAGCUUCCAAUGGCAUAAAUGGAGAGUCCCUUAAAGUGAUCUUCCUCUCAUGCUUCUGCAGCCUUCCGGUGAGAAUUACUACUGGCCUCCCCUUAUUUGAGCAGAAAGUGUGAGUUUAAAGGCAGGAACAAAAAAGCUGGGAAUAUAGUAGCUGUCCUCCGUGAAGAACAGAUGCCUGAGUGACUCGUGGGCUGUGUCUGGCCUGAGAAACCCAUUUCACUGAAUACUAAAUCUUCUCCAAAACGUCUUUUGGGAGACUGAAAGUGAUCCAAAUAGCCAUCUCCACUGCAUUUUUUUCAGCUGAACUUUUCAGUUUUCACCUAGUUGUUUUAGCACAACGUAGGCGCAGUCAUAAUCUCUUCCUUCUGUGACUAGGCUAUUUUAUACCAAUUAAAUGCUUUAAAUAAGGCAACUAGAGAUGUAAGGAAAAGUUGAAGAUAGUUUACCAGUAAUUAAAGACCAAGUUGUCUGUGGAGGUGAGAACAGUGAAGAUGAUGAUGGUGGUGGUGAUGAUAAACAUUUAUUGAGCAUUUUUAUUUACUAAUGCCAUUAUAGUAACUUGUUUAACCCUCCCAUACGUUUUUAUUCUCUAGCUACCAUGCUUGUUUCUUCCAGUCAAAGGUCUCUCUCCUGUCAUAACCUUCUCCACCGACUUCCAUGACACAGACAUUGAAGGAAAUAGAGCCAUAGGUUUUAAUUAUUGUCUUGUAUUUAAAUAUCAACCUUUUCAGGUGACCAUUAGUAGUUCUACCUUGAAGAUUCUAACUUUUAUCAAUACAGAGGCCAUUCCUUCUCCUCCUUUUCCUUUUUAACAUAUCUUUAUCUCUUUGUUUAUUUAUUAUUGUAUAAAUACAGAUAACACAUUUUCCAUUUCAACAUUUUUGUGUGUGUGCAAUUUAGUAAGACCAAUUACAUCAAUCAUAUUGUGCAUCUGCCACCAAUAUCUGCUGCCACAUUUCCAUCCUCAUAAAACAAAAACUCAACGCCACCUCAACAGUGACUCCCCUUCCUCCUCCCUCCCAUCCCGGUGACCCUUAUUAAACUCUGAUCUCCAUAUAUUUGUCUAUUCUAGGUAUUUAACAUUAGUGAGAUUAUACAAUAUUUGUCCUCUUGUUAUUGACUGAUUUCACUCGGCCUAAUGUUUUCAAGCUUCAUCCACAUUAUGGCAUGUAUCAGGACUUCAUUUCUCUUUAUGACAGAAUGGUACACAUGAAAGCCGGGAUGCAAACAGAAACCUAUAUGCCAGUGUUCUUUGCAGCAGUAUUCACAAUAGCCAGAAGGUGGAAACAGCCUAAAUGCCCAUCAACGAUGAAUGGAUAAAUCAUAUGGUAUUUUUAAUUACAGAGAAAUGCAUUGAGUGUAUUGGUGAUACUGGUGUUAAUGAAAAACCCUUAUUGAGCCAUUAUGGUAACUCACAGCUAAUGCUUACAAAGUCCUAUGAGAUAGGCAGUGUUUUUAUCUCCAUGUUACACAAGAGGAAAUUGAGG